UGGUCAAGUUAUUAAGGGUGCAGGGCGGAUGCCUUGGCACUAGGAGCCGAUGAAGGACGUGAUAAGCUGCGAUAAGCUUCGGGGAGUUGCACGUAAACUUUGAUCCGAAGAUUUCCGAAUGAGGAAACUCACUUAGAGUAAUGUCUAAGUAUCAUUAAGUGAAUACAUAGCUUAAUGAGGGGAACUCAGGGAACUGAAACAUCUAAGUACCUGAAGGAAGAGAAAGAAAUUCGAUUCCGUAAGUAGCGGCGAGCGAACGCGGAUUAGCCCAAACCAAUAAAGUUUUCUUUAUUGGGGUUGCGGACAUAUCAUAACGAAGAGGUAUCGUAAUUGAAGAGGUUUGGAAAGACCCACCACAGAAGGUAAUAGUCCUGUAUGUUAAACGAGAAGACUUUAGAUAUGAUCCAGAGUACCACGGGACACGUGAAACCCUGUGGGAAGCAGGAGGGACCACCCUCCAAGGCUAAAUACUACCUAGUGACCGAUAGCGUAUAGUACCGUGAGGGAAAGGUGAAAAGAACCCCGGGAGGGGAGUGAAAUAGAACCUGAAACCCUGCACUUACAAGCUGUGGAAGCACAUUUCUUGUGUGACCGCGUACUUUUUGUAGAACGGGCCAACGAGUUACGUUAAGUAGCAAGGUUAAGCACUUAAGGUGCGGAGCCGUAGCGAAAGCGAGUUUUAACUGAGCGUUCAGUUACUUGACGUAGACCCGAAACCGGGCGACCUACCCAUGAGCAGGAUGAAGCGAAAGUAAAAUUUCGUGGAGGUCCGAACCCACGAGCGUUGAAAAGCUCGGGGAUGACUUGUGGAUAGCGGUGAAAUUCCAAUCGAGCCCGGAGAUAGCUGGUUCUCCCCGAAAUAGCUUUAGGGCUAGCCUCAAGGUGAGAGAUACGGAGGUAGAGCACUGAAUGUCCUAGGGGGUAUUGCACCUACCGAAGACUAUCAAACUCCGAAUGCCGUCAUCUUAUACUUGGGAGUCAGACUGUGGGUGAUAAGAUUCAUAGUCGAAAGGGCAACAGCCCAGAUCGUCAGCUAAGGUCCCUAAAUGUAAGUUAAGUGGUAAAGGAUGUGGGAUUGCACAGACAACCAGGAUGUUGGCUUAGAAGCAGCCACUCAUUCAAAGAGUGCGUAAUAGCUCACUGGUCGAGUGAUCCUGCGCCGAAGAUUUCCGGGGCUAAAACUUACUACCGAAGCUACGGCAUCAGUAAUGAUGGGUAGGGGAGCUUCCCAUA
rnacentral:rRNA from 1 species